GCCUUCUUAGCUCAGUGGUAGAGCCGUGGCUUUUAACCACGUGGCCGUGUUCGAUCCCCACAGACAGCG
rnacentral:tRNA from 1 species